GACGAACGCUGGCGGCGUGAUUAACACAUGCAAGUCGAACGGAGUGGCGAACGGGUGAGUAUUACGUGAGUAACCUGCCCUCAACUGUGGGAUAAGCCCGGGAAACUGGGUCUAAUACUGCAUAGUUGGGGAUGGGCUCGCGGCCUAUCAGCUUGUUGGUGGGGGGGUGGCCUCCCAAGGCGGUGACGGGUAGCCGGCCUGAGAGGGUGGUCUGCCACAUUGGGACUGGGAUACGGCCCAGACUCCUACGGGAGGCAGCAGUGGUUGAUAUUGCACAGUGGUCGUCAGCCUGAUGCAGCGACGCCGCGUGAGGGAUGAAGGCUUUCGGGUUGAAAACCUCUUUCGGUAAAUAACGGUUAUGUGCAGAAGAAGCGCCGGCUAACUACGUGCCAGCGGCCGCGGUAAUUC
rnacentral:rRNA from 1 species